CUGUAUAUGUAUCAGUGCAAAAAAUGCAGUGAUGGACGUGAGCAGAGGCAAAAUUUCCAGUUUUCCGUCCUCUCUUUCCGCACUGACAGCUGCUCUCAGAUGUUGUAUGAGAAAGUCUCUCGGCAUCUUGGUGAUGCUUACAUCAUUACUA